CGAGCGUAGUGACCUGCGGAGGAUCAUUGUCGAUGCCUCGCAACCAACCCGACCGGCGAAUCUGUUUAUCUACCCGGGGUCGGAUCGGGGCGUGUUCAACACCCCGACCUCCCCUCGCGUCGGGAGGCGGCCCGGCCUCCUCUCGACGAGACACAAACCCCGGCGCUUCGUGUGCCAAGGAAUCAAGAAUUGUUCGGUGCGGUCCCGGGGACCCGGAGACGGUGCUCCCGCGGGUCUUGUCACGACACACGAUACAAAACGACUCUCGGCAACGGAUAUCUCGGCUCUUGCAUCGAUGAAGAACGUAGCGAAAUGCGAUACUUGGUGUGAAUUGCAGAAUCCCGUGAACCAUCGAGUCUUUGAACGCAAGUUGCGCCCGAAGCCAUCUGAGGGCACGCCUGCCUGGGUGUCACACAUCGUUACCCUCACGCAAACGUCCCGAGUCGGCCGUUGCGUGGUAGGGUGUAUGCUGGCCUCCCGCGAGCGCCGUCUCGUGGUUGGUUGAAAAGCGGGUUCGUGGCCGAGCGCGCCGUGAUAGAAUGGUGGACGGGCAACGCUCGAGACCGAUCACGUGCGGCCCGGUCGGGUAAGGACCGUCCGACCCCCGUGCGUCCCUGGACGCUCCCGGCGAGACCUCAGGUCAGGCGGGACCACCCGCUGAGUUUAAGCAUAUCAUAAGGGGGAAGGAAA
rnacentral:rRNA from 1 species